GGCCACCAAGAUGGCGGUCAUCGUGAUGGGUGGUCAUCGUGAUGGGUGGUCAGUGUGAUGGGUGGUCAUUGGGAUGGGUGGUCACCUUGGUCCUGGUUACCAUGAUCAUGGUCAUCAUGGUGGUGGCCCCUGUGAUCAUGGUCACUUUGAUCCCGGUCAUCGUGAUGGGUGGUCAUCUUGAUUGUGGUCACCAUCAUCAUGGCCAUUGUGGUGGUGGCCACCAUGAUCCCGGUCAUCGUGAGCCUGGUCAGCGUGAUGGGGGCCACCAAGAUGGCGGUCAUCGUGAUGGGUGG
rnacentral:lncRNA from 1 species